UACGUAGGGGGCGAGCGUUGUCCGGAAUCAUUGGGCGUAAAGAGCGCGUAGGCGGCCCUGUAAGUCCGCUGUGAAAGUCAAGGGCUCAACCCUUGGAUGCCGGUGGAUACUGCAGGGCUAGAGUCCGGAAGAGGCGAGUGGAAUUCCUGGUGUAGCGGUGAAAUGCGCAGAUAUCAGGAGGAACACCGAUGGCGAAGGCAGCUCGCUGGGACGGUACUGACGCUGAGGCGCGAAAGCGUGGGGAGCAAACAGG
rnacentral:rRNA from 1 species